rnacentral:rRNA from 1 species
AUCUAAGCAUGAAGCCCCCCUCAAGAUGAGAUUUCCCAACUUCGGUUAUAAGAUCCCUCAAAGAUGAUGAGGUUAAUAGGUUCGAGGUGGAAGCGUAGCGAUACGUGGAGCUGACGAAUACUAAUCGAUCGAAGACUUAAUCAAUUU